rnacentral:rRNA from 1 species
UACAGAGGGUGCAAGCGUUGUUCGGAAUUAUUGGGCGUAAAGCGCGUGUAGGCGGCUUUGCAAGUCGGGUGUGAAAGCCCUCGGCUCAACCGAGGAAGUGCGCCCGAAACUGCAGAGCUUGAGUACCGGAGAGGAUGGCGGAAUUCCCCAAGUAGAGGUGAAAUUCGUUGAUAUGGGGAGGAACACCGGUGGCGAAGGCGGCCUUCUGGACAGUGACUGACGCUGAGACGCGAAAGCGUGGGGAGCAAACAGG